GACGAACGCUGGCGGCGUGCUUAACACAUGCAAGUCGAACGGAAAGGCCCUGCUUUUGUGGGGUGCUCGAGUGGCGAACGGGUGAGUAACACGUGAGUAACCUGCCCUUGACUUUGGGAUAACUUCAGGAAACUGGGGCUAAUACCGGAUAGGAGCUCCUGCUGCAUGGUGGGGGUUGGAAAGUUUCGGCGGUUGGGGAUGGACUCGCGGCUUAUCAGCUUGUUGGUGGGGUAGUGGCUUACCAAGGCUUUGACGGGUAGCCGGCCUGAGAGGGUGGCCGGCCACAUUGGGACUGAGAUACGGCCCAGACUCCUACGGGAGGCAGCAGUGGGGAAUAUUGCACAAUGGGCGGAAGCCUGAUGCAGCAACGCCGCGUGCGGGAUGACGGCCUUCGGGUUGUAAACCGUUUUCGCCUGUGACGAAGCGUGAGUGACGGUAAUGGGUAAAGAAGCACCGGCUAACUACGUG
rnacentral:rRNA from 1 species